UACGAAGGGGGCUAGCGUUGCUCGGAAUCACUGGGCGUAAAGGGUGCGUAGGCGGGUCUUUAAGUCAGGGGUGAAAUCCUGGAGCUCAACUCCAGAACUGCCUUUGAUACUGAAGAUCUUGAGUUCGGGAGAGGUGAGUGGAACUGCGAGUGUAGAGGUGAAAUUCGUAGAUAUUCGCAAGAACACCAGUGGCGAAGGCGGCGAUCUGGGAACAUACUGACGCUGAGGUGCGAAAGCGUGGGGAGCAAACAGG
rnacentral:rRNA from 1 species